rfam:Gloeocapsa sp. PCC 73106 scaffold_00191, whole genome shotgun sequence.
CCUGGUGUUAUUAGCACAAUGGUCCCACCGCGACUCCAUCCCGAACUCGAGGGUGAAACGUUGUAGCGGCGAAGAUACUAGUCGGGCAGCUGACUGGGACAAUAGCUCAAGGCCAGGU